UUCCGAUCUACAAGGCACAGAAGAAGAGAAGCAUAUGUGUUCUUAAAUGCAAAAUGUUUCAUGAAGAGGAACAGUCUGAGAAGAUAUUAGUGGCAGUGCAAGACACUGGAAAGGAGACGGAAGAAGAUAUUGAACCAUAUGGAUGUUGCUAUUUUAAGCCAAGGAGAAGUGGGAGACUGGAAGAACCAUUUCAAGGUGGCCGAUAACGAGGCUUUUAACAAAGACAUGGAAACCAUACUACCAGAACUGGGGUUGAAUAUUACAUAUGAACUAUAACCAAAAAGAAUAAACUCAAAAGAAAUAACUCAAUAAGAAGUUUAUGACAGUUUAGAAUUCAGUAUUACGCUCGCUUUGUGAGUUUUAGAUCCAGCAUAGAUUUCAGAGCGCGGCGGGUUCCAGUAAUGACAGUUACUUGGUGUUAGAAAUGGAAGUUGCUGUCACAUUUUACGUAAUGGAAAAUGUGCCUUAGUCUCUAACAUAUCUUACUGUAUACUCAAGAGCACAUGUAACACGCCAUGUUAUGAACUGUAAAAUGAAUAUCUAGGUGGGUUUUUUUUUUCAAAUUACGAUAAUAAUCAAUCUUAAAAUUCCUAUAAAGAAUACAAAGUUAAGAAAGGACCCCUAGACACAAGAGGUGGGAUCAGGUGUCUAGGAGGGCUACGCAUCCCCUGUUGACCGGUCACACCCGCCGUGAUACCUAUAUUUUGAUCAGGUAAACGGGGUAAUCUGUAGUCAAUAUCAGUAUGUAAAGAACGGUCUAAUAAUUUGUACGAAACACAUGAUACAGCAUUUAACUUACUGAAAGGUUGUAUGAUUGUGUAGGAUUGAUUCCACUGUAUGAAGUUAUACCUAUACUAUGGGGAUCCGGGUUAGAAUAGGUCCUCAGUACCCCUUACUUGUCGUAAGAGGCGACUAAAUGGGGCGGUCCUUCGGAUGAAACCGCAAAAACCGAGGUCCCGUGUUACAGCUGGUGUAGCACGAUAAAAAUCCUUCCCGGCUUAAAGGCCGUAAGAGCCGAGCACAGGCCUAAAUUUUGCAUCCUCUCACUAGCAAUGGUGCCGUUUCUAUAUGAAUGAAAAAUUCUCGAGCACACAUUAUAUCAUUUUGGAUUGUGGAUCAGCUCUUUGGACGAAUAAGACAUGUCCUAAUUUGCUCCGCUUUUAACAUUGAUUGGCAAGCCAAAAAACCAAAAAACAUGUAGUCUGCGUUGUAAAUACGUUUGUAGAUCAGUGUAGUUGUAAUGAUAGAUGUAUUCAUAUGUAGUUUUUGUUAUUAUUCUCUGUUGAUUAGCCACAAAAUGUAAUUUUUUUGUUUGUCCUGAAGAAUGGACCUGUCCC